rnacentral:lncRNA from 12 species
GAAUGCUCCGCUGCCCAUCGAUACCCUCUCCACAAUAGGGCGGAAUCCAGGUGGCCGGGGAGCUCUCCCUAAGGAGCCGAAAGGAAGCAGAUCGCUUGAUUUAAGUUGUGGCUAAAGAAAAAAAAAGUUUCAUGUUUUAUAAAAAUUAUCAGUAGAGGAUCCUGAAAGGAACAGAAGUCCUGGGAUACGAGAGCAAGUAGAUGCUGUCGAGGAGAAGGACCAGGUGUCUGAUAGAAGCGUCUGCAGUGAUGGAAACGUUCGUAAUUCUGUGCCAUCCAACGUGGGGGCCCCUAGCUACACGUGGCUGCUGAGCACUUGAGAUAAUUCCAGAAUGACUGAAGAGCUGAAUUUUCAGUUUUGAUUUUCAUCAAUUUUAAGUGUUCUAAAGGGUAAGUGUCUAUAUUUGUAUUGAACAAUGUAGUUCUAGGAACAAACGCUGCAUGUUAUGUGCAUGAGUGGGAACUCUAGGACUUCGGGUGGAGGAAGGAGGAGAGUGGGAAGACAAACCAUUGCCUACCUGCAUCCUCCUGGGGAAAAAAAAUCCUUUCGACCUGUCGACGUAAUGGCUCCACCCAGGUAAUAAGGAGAUCCUAGCAAUCAGACCUGAAAACGAUAGUGUCAUCAUUUAUCUUCAUUAAUCAUUAGGCAACACGGCUGCCGGCCCGCACACAGGCUGGCACUUCCUGGCUCCCGCCUACUGAUGGAUGACAUUUCAAGUAAUCUGUGGUCGGCAACGGACAAGGGGGAAAGCAUCAGGGCGGCACCGAAAGGCUCGGCGGCUGCUGAAGGACUUUGUGGUCAAGGCAGAUGGGCCUUUUCCGGCGUGGACUCUCUCAUCCCACCCCGUGGCCAGCUGCGGCCGGGCUGCGGCAGAGGGCAGGUGGGCGGCGAGGGCGGGUGGGCCGCGAGGGCAGGUGGGCGGCGAGGGCAGGUGGCGGCCGGCGCUGCUCCCCGCGCUGUGCAGCAGGUGCAGGUAGGGGUGCGGGCGGAGCGCGCGGAGGGCAGGGCACCCCGGGGCGCAGGCCCCGCCCUCCAUGCCCACCGGCCGCCGCGGCCCUUGACUCCGCCUCCCCCGGCCCCUGGCCCGCUCCCCCUCGGCGGCCGCGGCUCCGGGCUCCAUUGUUCCCUCGGGCCCUCCCUGGGCCUCGGGCCUCCCUGGGCCGCGGCGGCGCCUAAGGACCGGCGGCUGCGGGCUGGGCGCUGCGGACGAGGACCCCCGAGGUCCGGGACCCCCGGCCCUGGAAGGAAGCGCCCACGGCCUUGGAAGGAGGCGGGGCAGCCCUUGUCGGCCUCGAGGCUCCCAGAGGCCCGCCGCCCCGUCCUGCGCCGCAGCCCCGGUGUCUGUGCCCGGCAGGAAGCCGCCGCCUGUGCACCUGUGCACCUGGGCACCUGCGGCCGCCCCCGCCCUGCCGGCCUACUGCUGCGCCGGGUCCCGCAGGGGGCGGGUGCAGGUGCUGGGCCCAGCCCGGGGGCGGGGGGGGCUGGCGCCGCCUCAGGGGGGCAGGCCCGGCGCUGCGGGGGGGUGGGGGGGAGAAGGCCCGGCGCUGCCUGCGGGGAGGCCCGGUGCCGCCUCGGGGGGGGAGCCCGGAGCCGCCUCAGGUGA